rnacentral:rRNA from 1 species
UACGAAGGGGGCAAGCGUUGUCCGGAGUUACUGGGCGUAAAGCGCACGCAGGCGGUCUCUUAAGUUUGGAGUGACAGUUGGUGGCUUAACUGCCAAAGUGCUUCGAAAACUGAGAGACUUGAGGGCUUCAGAGGGACACGGAAUUCCGGGUGGAGUGGUGAAAUGCGUAGAGAUCCGGAGGAACACCAAAGGCGAAGGCAGUGUCCUGGGGAGUACCUGACGCUCAGGUGCGAAAGCGUGGGGAGCAAACAGG